rnacentral:lncRNA from 1 species
UGGGACUAAAUGGCUCUCCUACCCACACUUCAGUUGUUCUUGAAGCGGGGAAGAAAGGGAAAUGCGCUGACACGGAGGGACGCGGCGGCGGCCUUGCCCUUGAAAGCCCGCGUUACCGGGCGCGGGACUCAGCUGGCGUCAGGGCGCUGGAAAUGGACUCCCGCGCGCUCGCCCCCGCUCUGCCGGAGGACCCAGCCCGGGCUAAUUGGCGCUGUGAAUGAUUCGGGGCUGUGAACAGGCGACUGCAAUCAGACUAGGGCUGAUGGCGUUGGGAGUCUUGCAGAGUUUGCACUGGCAAGGCAGGCUUUUUAAACCCUUCACUGCUCCACUGGAAACACCACCAAACUAAG